rnacentral:rRNA from 1 species
UUAAAUUGAAGAGUUUGAUCAUGGCUCAGAUUGAACGCUGGCGGCAGGCCUAACACAUGCAAGUCGGACGGUAACAGGAAGCAGCUUGCUGCUUUGCUGACGAGUGG